CGCGAGCUGGCCUUUGACAUCUGCCACCUGAGGCCCGGGGCUGCGGAAGGCGGCCCGAGUGUGCCCGGGAAUUCCACCCGGGAGCUGCCCGCCGAGCGUGCGGAGGGCGUGUCGCGCUCUUCGGGGGCGCCUGCCGCGUGUCCCCAGGAGGAUGCUCCAGGGCUACCUGUCUCACUCGGACAGGAAUUUAUUGGAAUGAUUUACAGGCUGCAGUCCAACAAUGGCUCGUUAUGAAUGGAAAGUCCAGAAUCUAGUAGCUGCUCAGUCCCACACGGCUGGGUGUCUCAGCUGGUCUGCUGGGAUCUCCAAGAAGGAAUGGAUGUGCUGACGGAGGUGGCAUUCCUGUCAUCUUGCUAUUUAGGAUCUACACUCCACUUGAUCUCUUUCUUCACUGUCGAGACAUUGAGUCUAGAGAAAGAACCACGGGCGAUCUAUAUCUGGAGAGCUGGGAGGUCAGCAAAGCAGCAGCGUGGCGACCGUGACACCUGAAUCUAUCCCCACGAAUCUGUGACCUCUCCAAAGUCUUCCAGUCACAGUGACAGUCAUCUGAUACUCGUACUAGUACAGAGAUGGCUGCUGUCAUCGGUUACUUUUCAUGCUGUGUGGACAUCCUGCUGGGAACGUAUCAAAGUGAUACAAAUUUUUCCUCAAAAUCAGAUUCAUAGUCUUAGACCUGAGAGCAUGAAUGCUCUCUAUGAGGAAAAGCCUUUCUUUUACUGAGAAGGAUCCUGGCCAUUUUCUUGAGCUCAGACAGCCAAUUCACACUUCCUCCUUCUCCCAGUGCAGCCACGUUCUGUCCUUCCCUAGGUGUCUUUGACUUUCUAAUGGUUAGCUGCUGCUACAGCUGUUGUGUGGGAGAUUUCCAUGGAUCUUAUGUAUGAGGAAUGUCUGCAUUGGGCCUUCAGGAGCUAGAAGGAAUUGUUAAAAGAGGGAAGGCGGUCUUUCUACACACAGUGAAAGGCUUGAGAGAAGACACAGCACCAAGUGUGGGGUGUUGAGGGAAGGUUAGGGACAGCCUGAUAGAACUGAAAGGUGUUUGUAGGGUGUCACUGGACAUAGAGAUGAGCUUCUGAUUGUCCUUUAGACUAUCUCAAAUGUGACCUUAUCAGUAAUGCCUUCCUGCUCACCCAAGAUGGAAUUCAGGAAGCCACCCUCUGUUACCCUCUUGUUCUUGGUUCGUGAAUGGAGGCUGACAUCAUAUUAUAUCAUAAGUGCUUACUUGUUCAGCCUUGGGGACUGGAUUAUGUAUUAGAUAUCUAUCUGCCCACAGAGCCUUAACACCACAUAAGGAAUAGUCUACACAAUUACAUUGUUUUAUUUAUACCUAGCCCUUUUUACACAUUCACAUUUUCACAAGAUCAUUUUAGACAUUUGUGCUUCCUAGUUAUAAUUUGCAAAACAAAAUUCACAUACUGUUGAGAGACCUAUGGAACUCUAUCAUGAAGUUUAUUUUACCCCUAGAACAGUCAGUCAGCUGAUCAAUUAAUCAGCUACUUACUGGAAACCUGUCAUAGGAAAUGAACCUCAAAGGCCAGCUGGACCAAUUAUUGGACACUCUGAGUGCUCAGGUUUUCUCUUAUAUGAUUUGCUGAUGCUCUUGCCUCUGAUUUUCCUGUGUCCUGCAUCCCAGUUAAGGGGCUGAGUCAAACUCUUUACAACAGCGCACACAUUCCCUUUGACAACCCCUGUGUGGCUUUACACCCAUCUCCAUCAGAUGAGGUUAUCUCUGUGUCAGCCUCUUGGACCAGAAUGUAAACACCUCAAGGGCAAGAAAGGUGGGUUUUCUUCUCCACUGGUUGACAGAACCUCCGGCUAAGUUCUGUAGGGCUAAGUUGAACAAAUGAAUGAAUGUAAAUAAGUGAUGACAUUUUCAUUUUCUAUUCUUCUGGUUAGUGAUUCUAACAGCCACACCUUCUCAGUGGAAUUUUGUUUUGAAGAAACACCUGGAAGCUAUAAGAACAAAAUCAGAACAACUGUGGUUGAGGAGAAUGAACACUGUUAACUACUGAGGGUAGUUAGUUGUAAGCCAGUGGACUGGCCAGGGGACUGGCAAGGUCUACUUCAGACUCACACUUCCAGUGUAUGUUGCUUGGAGUCAGAACUGGAUGGCAGAACAAGCACCAUAGUCCAGUUAGCAGCGCUGAGGUCCAUAUAAAGCCUUAGGAAAGCAAAAAUACAUUGAAAACCAGGAAGCCAAACUUCUGAACUUAACCAGACCAGGGAAUCAGACUGUAUUGCAUUUUGACAGUCUCAAGCUGGUUUGAGAAAUGCUCCUGGCAUAUGACUAAAUAAUGAAAUCUCUAAGUUCCUCACAGUGUCAGCAUUUUCAGCAUCUCAGUUUGUAAAACAUUCUUCCAAAAAGGGGAUUAAAAAUCCUGUAGGGUAAGAAGCUAAGACUUGGAAGGACCGGCUGCUGUCGGUCAACACUGUGAUGGUUGCUUGUUUCCUAGAGGAGCUGGACAUCGUCCAGGGAGUCUCGUCAGGGACUUCUUCACUAUUGCACGUAUACUGUGGUGCAGUACUAGUCCUCCACUCGGUUAAUGUGAGAGUUGAAAUGAUUAUGCCUUCGAAGGGCUUAAUACUGACAAAAGGAACAGUAGCUCCCACUGCUGUUUCCGGAGCAUCAAGGCAGUGACUUUUCAAAUGUGUGAACAGCAGCAGUAAUAAUGUACUUGGACAUAUGUUGAAUGAAUGGAUAUUGGGAACCUCUACAGAGAACUGCUGUAUUGGCUUCAUGUUUCAUGUAUGUUAAUUGUGUUUUCUCUGUCUUUUUUCUCUAGUGACGUCUAGUUAUAGUGCUCUCUCUCUCUCUCUCUCUCUCUCUCUCUCUCUCUCUCUGUCUUUUUGCUUUAUUAAAUAAGGCUGACAAACUGUAUAAAUUUAAAGUAUACUAUGUGGUGAUUUGUAUGUAUUAGGAAA